GACCGCGUAGCUCAGUUGACAGAGCAUUGGGCUAGUAUUCCAAAGGUCGUAGGUUCGAUUCCCACCGUGGCCA